GACGAGGGAUCCUAGCGUUGCUCGGAAUCAUUGGGCGUAAAGCGGGUGUAGGUGGCUUUAUAAGUCAGGUGUGAAAGCCCAGGGCUCAACCCUGGAAGUGCAUUUGAUACUGUUUAGCUUGAGUGUGGGAGAGGUUACUGGAAUACCUGGUGUAGUGGUGAAAUACGUAGAUAUCAGGUGGAACACCGGAGGCGAAGGCGGGUAACUGGCCCAACACUGACACUCAGACCCGAAAGCGUGGGGAUCAAACAGG
rnacentral:rRNA from 1 species